rnacentral:lncRNA from 1 species
GUUGCCCAGACUGGAGUACAGUGGAAUGAUCACAGCUUACUGCAGCCUCGACUUCCUGGGCUCAAGCGAUCCUCCCACCUUGGGCUCUGGAGUAGCUGGGACCACAGGCAUUACCAGAAAUGCACUAAUACAAUGAACUCAGGAGAUUCUCACUUGAGAAAAUCUCCAGCAAACGAUCACAGAAGUCAGAGACUGAGAGGUAAUUUGAAGGGUCCCCAGAGGAAUGCUGUCUGCUAGUCCACACGUCUCCUUUUGGAGGGCAUGCAUGAAAUGAAAGGACCAACACCUGAAGCAAACACCUCCAGCCAUCACUGCCGGAUGACUUCAGUGGCCGUAAUGAUGGACACGAGAACUGUUGUGAAGAUUAAAGCAGAUCACAGAGACUUAAAGCUCUUGAACAUUUUUGACAGAUAAAG